ensembl:lncRNA
AGAGGGAAAGGAAAGAGGCCACAGGAGAGAUCACCGGUCCUUCUGGAAAACUGGGAAAGCAAAUGAGGAGGCUGCAUGGGAAAGGGAUUGGGUUGAUGGAAGAAGACCCCCAUCUGCAGUCUAAUUGGGCUGUGGGUAGGAAACAAAGACCUGGCACAUUUGGGGGGUCAAAUCUGGCUGCCACGUGCCCCCCACCAUUGCCUCUGGAUCUCCGGGCUCUUCCAUCAGCCUGCUUUGUGUGACAUGUCUUGGUGCACGUGCAUCUCCCAUGUCGUCUUCCUGAGAUUGAACGUGGUGCCUUCAUCUCUGAAUGCUCCUCGCCCAAAGCGCACCACAGAGGACACAGGCUCAGGGAGGCAUGGCUCUUGGCCAGCGCGCAGAAGACAGAGGUCCAGACACCACCGAGGCCCAGUGAUACAUCUGGGAGAAGCGGCUCCCCAGGCCAGCAGACUUUCAGCUUGACCUGAGGGCUGAGCUCGAACCAGCUUACCCCGUGCGUAUACACCAGGCCUGACUGCAGCCCCGUGAUGGGGAGGGGAAGGGCCCCUGGGCAGGGCUCCUCAGACUGGGAGGAGAGAGGCCCAGGGGAUGUUCAGACUCCAUUUGCAGAGCUAAGAAGCCAAAGGCAAGGACUUUGUCUUGCUUGUUUGGGACAGCGCCCGUAGGUCUCGAGUAAAUAUUUAACUAAACUUGCAAAUAAGUGUUAUCUGUCUCUGGCAAGGACAUUGGGGCAAAAGGCUUUCUGUACCUCUGCCCUUGGUAUUAGUGUUUAUUCUCUUAACAGCAAGAGAGGCUCUUUCCUUUUCGCUGGCCCUGUUUUAGUUGUCUGUGGAUGUAGGUGGCCAACGUGUAAAAGCUGUGACUCCAGGGUGGGUGUUGCUCUUGGUGGAGCUUCAUUAUAAAUUGGAAAGAGCGUGAUGCAGAAAUACCCUGAGAGUAGCAGCCAGGUUGCGCUGGAUUCCAAUCUGGGCUCCUCCACUGAUGAACUGUGAUGCCAAGGAAAGGAACUUCACCGCUUCACGCCUCAAUGUCCCCCUCCAGUCCUUCUCAAGUGACCUGCCCUCCUUGCUGGGUUGUGAGGACCGAAGGACACAGCGCAGUGACAGCUGCCGUGCGGGCGGGCUGGCUGAUUCGGAACCUGCAAGUGGCCCAGCCCUCAGGGGUCUAGAAAUGGAAACUCCGAAGGCUUUCAGUUCACAAGACCAUUUCAAUGUCAGAGCUGAGGCGAGCAAAGGAACUCGCGUCAACCCUUCAUCAGCCAGGAAAGGAAACUGCAGCCAGGAACGCCCCACCCUGCGGGGCCCCUGUGGCCGCCACGCCUGUCCUCAGACCCACACAAACACCACCGAAGAGGGAGCCCCAGUGCCCUCAGGUUUCCUGGACCUAUUCUCAGCACCCACCCUCCCUCCACCUGACCUGGCCUUUGUUUUCCUAGCCCCGGUCGCGUUGCCUUUUGGACUUGAUCCUUGCCAGGUUCUUGCUGUGGCCUUGAAUCCAGUUAAAAGUGCGGCGCUCUCACAGCUGGUGCAUUGGUUCUGCUGCCUCUGGCACACACGCCUCCCUUUUCAGUGGGGCCAGGAGUACCGUGCGUCAGAAGAAUGUUCCCCAGUCUCCUGGGGGCUGGCUUAGUUUCCGGGGUUGCAUUUCCUUUCUGUCUCUCUCUCUCUCUCACUCACUCGCUCUUGUAUUUUUUUAUAGCUGUGAGGAGCAGUAUUUAAGGACUUUUUGGGUGAACAUGCCAUAUGCCUUCUUUAUCGAGCAGUAGGAAUCAGCAGGAGGAUAAAGGAUGCUCUUAAAGUGACAGGAAGAAAUCAAAAGGGCUCUCAGCCUCCCCGUCAGGGGGAAAAUUCUAAGCAAGUUCCUGCCAUCGAUGACCGAAUCUGCAUCCUCUAGAUGCUAUGGGGUGUCCUGAAACAUUCAUUUCCCUGCUCUGAGCCUUCGUUUCCUUUUCGGUGAAGUGAAAACAAUACUCCAAUCUUGGCAAUGUCGUCAGGUUGCUCCCUGGACCAGAGCAGAUACUGGUUGAGGAAGUACUUGGGACGCUUGGGAAGCCCUGUGACCUUGACACAGGGCACCCAUGUCGGUUCUCAGCCCCAUCUGGGUUGGGAUCUGUGUAUCCUCCUCUGGGUCCGUCAGUCCUGGUUGUGUUCAGCCGCCCCCUGCAGAGGCUUCUCCGUUUCCAGGAUGAGAGAACAGCAGCCGUGAGUUCCAUCUGCUCCUUCUUUCAGGCUCUUCUCCCAGAUGAGUGUGACUUGUGGGUGGCAAGGAAGCUUAAGGGGGUAUCAAGAGUUACUUUUCUGGGAGUCUCCAGGUAGGAUCUCCCCUGGCAAAGAUGCCUGAACUGAGGACCCUAAUUCCCAUCACCCCCAGUUAGAGGUGGCAGAGUAGUGUCCAGAGACAUUACUGUGGGGGCAGACGUUGUAGGCAGGAAAAAACAUCAUAAAGGGCAGCCUUUUCCUAUUACCUAGGCAGUAACCUGGACACCAGUGGCAUCUGCAUAAGGCAUUUACGCUCACCGUGAACGAACCAGGAGAAAUGUCAGUAACUUCCCUUAGAGAAAGCACUAUCCAUCUGGAAGUAUUUACUCAUUCAUUCAUUUGGUCGUUUAUUCAGACAUCUGUGGAUUCUUCCACUGUGAAAUAUUUAUCAAAUACUUACUGUGUAUCAGAGCUGUGC